GGGCGCCGACGCCGCGGCCAGCGUCGGCGCGGCCUCCCAUGUCGCGUCGAGCGCUGCCGCGGCUGCGGCGGCCGCCGCUCCGAUACCGCGGGCGCCCA
rnacentral:tRNA from 1 species